rnacentral:rRNA from 1 species
UCCUACGGGGCGCAGCAGUAGGGAAUUUUCGUCAAUGGGCGCAAGCCUGAACGAGCAAUGCCGCGUGAACGAGGAAGGUCUUCGGAUCGUAAAGUUCUGUUGAAGGGGAAAAAGAGCGGAGAGAGGAAGUGGUCUCCGAUUGAUAUUACCCUUCGAGGAAGUCACGGCUAACUACGUGCCAGCAGCCGCGGUAAUACGUAGGUGGCGAGAGUUAUCCGGAAUGAUUGGGCGUAAAGGGUGCGUAGGCGGCCUGCUAAGUCUGGAGUGAAAGGAACCGGCUCAACCGGUACAGGCUCUGGAAACUG